rnacentral:lncRNA from 1 species
AUGACAUGCUAUUUUCAAACACACCCUAAAACGGAAAGAAAGCGAGUUUGUGUGUGUUCGUCCAGGUCCCUGCGUUCCUCGGACAGGGUGAAUAAUUACCAGCACUGCCUUUCAAAAUACCACCAGCACCUGUCUGCAAAUCUUGCACAGCAAAACGGAGUUUCUUGCCGUUUGGUUUUGCAGCACCGACAUGACCAUAAAAAUGCCAUUAUUCUCCAGAACAACAAAACCCCGUUUAUAUUAACAGAUGCUUCCGCACACGGCAGCAUGGCCGGGGAUAAAAAGGCACCGCAGCGAAUGCGGCUCCAAAUCGGUUAAUCCGGAUUAACCCAGCGCUGCACUUGCUCCGCAAGCCCAACUUUCCCGGAAGGCGAUGGGCAAAAAGCGGCCUCGCGGGGCUCCGCAGGACCCCGAGAGCUUCCUCGCCUCGCCCUGCGUCGGCCCCAGCCCCUCCGUCUGGAUGAAACCAUUUAUCUCCAUCACUCGGGAGCUGGUCAGACGGGGGGCGAGGCGAUUGUUUCCCGAGUUGUCAGAGGGCAUUGAUCAGCCCUUCCCUCGGCCGGCCGCGAGGUGAGGGCAGCUCCCCCAGGAGCGCUCGGGGCUCGGCCAUGUCAGGGGAAGCGGUAUUGAGUCAUGAGCCAAAUGACUGCUCAUUGAGGGAAACGGGUAUUGGCGUCCGAAUCAUUCCGAGACACCCUCGGUAACGCUUAAACAAGUCCACUCUGUUAAUGUCAGGUCACGGGGGACACAUUUAGCCCUCUCUGCUGACCAUUAGACCCUUUGAUGGAGUGGACGAUAAACCUGACAGGACAGGCUGGACACUGCUGGUGGAUGUGCUGGCGCUGUCAGCGUGCUCAGGCCGCCCGUGUGCCCCGCAGGCUGACGGACAGACGGACACCACGGCCACCACCAAGGGCCACACAACGCAGGGGGACCCUGGCGGCACGGGGAUGGCCAGGGAACAGCCUGUCCUUCACGGGUGUGCCUGCACCGCUCCCUCCUAAGCGCCCUCUCCACCAACAGGGCAUUUGGAAACCCAUUUCUUAAUCACCAUCUAUGAGAAAAAAUCCAAAGAUCUCCAUAUCCCUCCAGAAGGAAGGGAAUGGUACAGAAUUAGCUGCAAUCUGGUUACAGCGCUCGGGAGGCAGCUCCUAAGAGCGGCUUACUUUAUGCCACGCUUUUAAAAACAGUCAAAAAAGGAAAAGAAUAAAAUCAACUGCCCUUCUCCGCCA